AACGUAGGUACCGAGCGUUAUCCGGAUUUACUGGGCGUAAAGCGUGUUCAGGCGGUUUGGCAAGUCGGGCAUGAAAUCUCUCGGCUCAACCGGGAGAGGUUGUCCGAUACUUCCAGACUUGAGGGCAGUAGAGGGUGGUGGAAUUCCGGGUGUAGUGGUGAAAUGCGUAGAUAUCCGGAGGAACACCAGUGGCGAAAGCGGCCACCUGGACUGCACCUGACGCUGACACGCGAAAGCUAGGGGAGCGAACGGG
rnacentral:rRNA from 1 species